AUUUGUUUCACUUCACGUCUCUCUCUGAUGAAAGUAACCCUUGCCUUGAACUCUCCCGGGAACUCUGAGAGGAUGAGCCCGCCCCGUCUACAUUUUGAGUGUCAGAAUGUUCACAUGCUAUGAGCUUCACAGUCAGCAGAUCUCAACCCAGAUAAGCACCUGUGGGAGAUUUUGAUGUUAUGUGUUAGAAAACAGUCUCUACCACCAUCAUCAACACACCAACUGAGGGAAUAUCUUCUGGGCAUCAGUUCCUGUGACUUGACGAAUCUAUGCCACG
ensembl:lncRNA